UAGCAAGGUUCCUCAACAACACUCUCCUG
rnacentral:piRNA from 1 species